AUUGAACGCUGGCGGCAUGCUUUACACAUGCAAGUCGAACGGUAACAGGCCGCAAGGUGCUGACGAGUGGCGAACGGGUGAGUAAUGCAUCGGAACGUGCCCAGUCGUGGGGGAUAACGCAGCGAAAGCUGUGCUAAUACCGCAUACGAUCUAUGGAUGAAAGCGGGGGACCGUAAGGCCUCGCGCGAUUGGAGCGGCCGAUGUCAGAUUAGGUAGUUGGUGGGGUAAAGGCUCACCAAGCCAACGAUCUGUAGCUGGUCUGAGAGGACGACCAGCCACACUGGGACUGAGACACGGCCCAGACUCCUACGGGAGGCAGCAGUGGGGAAUUUUGGACAAUGGGCGCAAGCCUGAUUCAGCAAUGCCGCGUGCAGGAAGAAGGCCUUCGGGUUGUAAAGCUCUUUCGGACGGGAAGAAAUUGGUGGGGCUAAUAUCCCCAUCGGAUGACGGUACCGUAAUAAGAAGCACCGGCUAACUACGUGCCAGCAGCCGCAGUAAAAC
rnacentral:rRNA from 1 species